rnacentral:rRNA from 1 species
GAACGAUGAAGCCUAGCUUGCUAGGUGGAUUAGUGGCGAACGGGUGAGUAAUACGUGAGUGACCUACCUUUGACUCUGGGAUAAGCCUGGGAAACUGGGUCUAAUACCGGAUACGACCAAUCUCCGCAUGGGGUGUUGGUGGAAAGCGUUAUGGAGUGGUUUUAGAUGGGCUCACGGCCUAUCAGCUUGUUGGUGAGGUAAUGGCUUACCAAGGCGACGACGGGUAGCCGGCCUGAGAGGUGACCGCCCACACUGGGACUGAGACACGGCCCAGACUCCUCCGGGAGGCAGCAGUGGGGAAUAUUGCACAAUGGGCGCAAGCCUGAUGCACCGACCCCGCGUGAGGGAUGACGCCCUUCGGGUUGUAAACCUCUGUUAGCAUCGAAGAAGCGAAAGUGACGGUAGUGCAGAGAAAGCGCCGGCUAACUACGUGCCAGCAGCCGCGGUAAUACGUAGGGCGCGAGCGUUGUCCGGAAUUAUUGGGCGUAAAGAGCUUGUAGGCGGUUGGUCGCGUCUGCUGUGAAAGGCUGGGGCUUAACCCUGGUUUUGCAGUGGGUACGGGCUAACUAGAGUGCAGUAGGGGAGACUGGAAUUCCUGGUGUAGCGGUGGAAUGCGCAGAUAUCAGGAGGAACACCGAUGGCGAAGGCAGGUCUCUGGGCUGUAACUGACGCUGAGAAGCGAAAGCAUGGGGAGCGAACAGGAUUAGAUACCCUGGUAGUCCAUGCCGUAAACGUUGGGCACUAGGUGUGGGGGACAUUCCACGUUUUCCGCGCCGUAGCUAACGCAUUAAGUGCCCCGCCUGGGGAGUACGGCCGCAAGGCUAAAACUCAAAGAAAUUGACGGGGGCCCGCACAAGCGGCGGAGCAUGCGGAUUAAUUCGAUGCAACGCGAAGAACCUUACCAAGGCUUGACAUAUACUGGACUGCGUCAGAGAUGGCGUUUCCCUUCGGGGCUGGUAUACAGGUGGUGCAUGGUUGUCGUCAGCUCGUGUCGUGAGAUGUUGGGUUAAGUCCCGCAACGAGCGCAACCCUCGUUCUAUGUUGCCAGCACGUGAUGGUGGGGACUCAUAGGAGACUGCCGGGGUCAACUCGGAGGAAGGUGGGGAUGACGUCAAAUCAUCAUGCCCCUUAUGUCUUGGGCUUCACGCAUGCUACAAUGGCCGGUACAGAGGGUUGCGAUACUGUGAGGUGGAGCUAAUCCCUAAAAGCCGGUCUCAGUUCGGAUUGGGGUCUGCAACUCGACCCCAUGAAGUCGGAGUCGCUAG